rnacentral:rRNA from 1 species
AUUGAACGCUGGCGGCAGGCCUAACACAUGCAAGUCGAGCGGACGAAGGGAGCUUGCUCCUGGAUUCAGCGGCGGACGGGUGAGUAAUGCCUAGGAAUCUGCCUGGUAGUGGGGGAUAACGUCCGGAAACGGGCGCUAAUACCGCAUACGUCCUGAGGGAGAAAGUGGGGGAUCUUCGGACCUCACGCUAUCAGAUGAGCCUAGGUCGGAUUAGCUAGUUGGUGGGGUAAAGGCCUACCAAGGCGACGAUCCGUAACUGGUCUGAGAGGAUGAUCAGGCACACUGGAACGGAGACACGGUCCAGACUCCUACGGGAGGCAGCAGUGGGGAAUUUUGGACAAUGGGCGAAAGCCUGAUCCAGCCAUGCCGCGUGUGUGAAGAAGGUCUUCGGAUUGUAAAGCACUUUAAGUUGGGAGGAAGGGCAGUAAGUUAAUACCUUGCUGUGUUGACGUUACCAACAGAAUAAGCACCGGCUAACUUCGUG